rnacentral:snoRNA from 1 species
AAGUCACUAUUCAUCAUGUGAAACUUAUGACCAAAGACUGAAGUUCUCCAGAGGAGGCAGCAGUCAUUCAACAGUGCUGUUUUCCUGAGGAGAAUACAAA